CGGCUCCGGUGUCAGGCUCCCAGCAGCGCCCGAAAUGGCGGCGGCGGCCGCGGGCCUUCCCCACCGGAAAUGACGCGCUCUCUACCCGAGGGAGGCUGCCGGGAAGGGGACCGCCGCCCGCCAUUGGGAGAAGGGAAACGGAGUCCUUGGGGCCCGCAGUGCGCAUGCGGCUUCAUGGGCGUCGCCUCCUGGUCCAAACUCUGACCGCCGAGGAUGGGGAGGCGGAGUCUAGGGCUAAGGGGCGGAGCCUCAGUCCCUAGGCUGACUGAUCAGUGUUUGACAGAUUGGUGGUGGAGGUCUUUCGCCCAGGACCUACAGGUGCAGUGGUGACCCAGACUGGGCUGUAAGUCACCGAAUUCACAGACCAGUGGGAGGAACCAGGAAACAAUUAAUGACAAAGGAACGCCAAAGGCUGUGAUGGGGAACAGGGAUACAAAGAAAUCGACUAAGUAGUCUGUAGAGGGAUCCAAAGGACGGGGUAAAAUGACUCAAGACUGUAAUCCCAACACCUGGGAAACUGAGACAGGAGGAUUACUGCGAGUCUGAGGCCCUACCUUACAAAACCUAAACAAAUAACGACAAACAGGGGUCCACAGAUGAGGUGGCACAGGUUGAAUGGUGGGGUGUUGAAUGGCAAGUGAGGAAGGGUACUCAAUGCAAAGAAAGCAAAAUGUUCAGACAGGCAAAAGAACGGAGUUCUCCCUAUUGAGGUCCCCAUGUCCCCCAGCCAGAGCCUUCUCAGUUUUCAGCUGUAGCAAUGGGUAUCUCCUGCUCUCACUCCCUUUGUGAUCAUGAUCAUCUCUCUUCAAUUUUUUAAAAAUGAUUUUUUUUUUUGAAACAGUGUUUCUCUGUGUAGCCCUGGCUGCCCUGGAACUCACUCUGUAGGCCAGGCUGGCCUCAAACUUAGAUAUCUGCCUGCCUCUGCCCCCCAAGCCACCAAUGAUGCCCUGCUUGAAAUGAAAUCUUACUCUGUAGCCCAGGCUGACUCAAGAUCCUUCCACUCCAGCCUCCCCAGUACUGGGAUUACAAGAGCACCAUACCUGGGCACGAUUGCCAUGAUUCCUGUGCACAGCCUGCCCGCGGCUGCUCCCGAGGCUAGUUUGCCGGAUGGCACUGCAACAUCAAUUUGUACAUAGAAUGUUUUUACAUUCAAGAAAAGAAAAGAAAAAUCGUUGUCAGUGGGCUGGAGAGAAGGCUCAGCAAUUAAGAGCACUUGCUUUUGCAGAAGAUCUGAGUUUUGGCUUGCCAGUACCCACAUGGUGGUCCACACCCAUCUGAAACUCCAGUUCCAGGACAUCCAAUGUUCUCUUCUGAUCUCCACAGGCAUCAAGCAUACA